rnacentral:rRNA from 1 species
UACGGGAGGCAGCAGUAAGGAAUAUUGGACAAUGGGCGCAAGCCUGAUCCAGCCAUGCCGCGUGCAGGAUGACGGCCCUAUGGGUUGUAAACUGCUUUUGUACGGGAAAAAACCCCUUUACGUGUAAAGGGCUGAUGGUACCGUAAGAAUAAGGAUCGGCUAACUCCGUGCCAGCAGCCGCGGUAAUACGGAGGAUCCAAGCGUUAUCCGGAUUCAUUGGGUUUAAAGGGUGCGUAGGCGGAAUGAUAAGUCAGUGGUGAAAUCCUGCAGCUUAACUGCAGAACUGCCUCUGAUACUGUCAAUCUUGAGUACAUUUGAUGUGGGCGGAAUGUGUCAUGUAGCGGUGAAAUGCAUAGAUAUGACACAGAACACCGAUUGCGAAGGCAGCUCACAAAACUGUAACUGACGCUGAGGCACGAAAGCGUGGGGAUCAAACAGGAUUAGAUACCCUGGUAG